UACGUAGACCCCGAGCGUUAUCCGGAUUCAUUGGGCGUAAAGGGUGCGUAGGAGGCCAGGUGCGUCUUCUGUUAAAUCUUGCCGCUCAACGGUGAGGCUGCAGGAGAUACGGCCAGGCUAGAGGAUGCAAGAGGUUAGCAGAACGCACGGUGUAGGGGUGAAAUCCGUUGAUAUCGUGCGGAAUACCAAAAGCGAAGGCAGCUAACUAGUGCAUUUCUGACUCUGAAGCACGAAAGCGUGGGGAGCAAAAAGG
rnacentral:rRNA from 1 species